rnacentral:rRNA from 1 species
GAUGAACGCUGGCGGCGUGCCUAAUACAUGCAAGUCGAGCGAACAGAUGAGGAGCUUGCUCCUCUGACAUUAGCGGCGGACGGGUGAGUAACACGUGGAUAACCUACCUAUAAGGCUGGGAUAACUUCGGGAAACCGGAGCUAAUACCGGAUAAUAUAUUGAACCGCAUGGUUCAAUAGUGAAAGACGGUUUUGCAGUCACUUAUAGUUUGAUCCGCGCCGCAUUAGCUAGUUGGUAAGGUAAGGGUUUACCAAGGCAACGAUGCGGAGCCGACCUGAGCGGGUGAUCGGCCACACGGGAACUGAGACACGGUCCAGACUCCUACGGGAGGCAGCAGUAGGGAAUCUUCCGCAAUGGGCGAAAGCCGGACGGAGCAACGCCGCGUGAGUGAUGAAGGUCUUCGGAUCGUAAAACUCUGUUAUUAGGGAAGAAGAAAUGUGUAAGUAACAAUGCACGUCUUGACGGUACCUAACCAGAAAGCCACGGCUAACUACGUG